rnacentral:rRNA from 1 species
UACGUAGGGACCAAGCGUUGUUCGGAUUUACUGGGCGUAAAGGGCGCGUAGGCGGCGUGACAAGUCACUUGUGAAAUCUCUGGGCUUAACCCAGAACGGCCAAGUGAAACUGUUGUGCUAGAGUGCAGAAGGGGCAAUCGGAAUUCUCGGUGUAGCGGUGAAAUGCGCAGAUAUUAGGAGGAACACCGGUGGCGAAGGCGCUGCUCUGGGCCGAUACGUGACGCUGAGGAGCGAAAGCGUGGGUAGCAAACAGG